GAGCAAGCUACAGACAGAGGCCACUGUGUCCUGGUGGAUUUGGAAGGAGUUGAGGUUUCAUCCUGAGAGCAGUGGGGAGCCAUGGGAGGCUUCAUAGCGAGGGGAGGGAAGGUCGGGGCUCUGUAAUAGAGAGGUCCUCUGGCUGCGCAUGUGCUGGAGGGACAGAAGCUGGAACCCUGGAGGCUGGAGAGGUCUCACUGCCGUCAUCAGGGGGACACCAGGUGGCGGGGAUAGGAGGGAAAAGGACAUCUUCACCGGCCUUCGGGAGUAGGCACUGCUCAGGAGUGUGAAGGGGGGCGCUGUGCUCAUCUGUGGAUCGAUCAGUGGAUGCGGUCAGAGCCCGGUGUAGUGUCAGGAGGUAGGGACUGUUCAGAAGGGGCAGUCACUGGGGCCGUGACCCGGAAGUGUUUCCCUCCCUCCCGGCUCCUCCCUUCUCUCUCUGCUUCUUGGCCACCAAGCUGUGAGCAGCUCUCCGCCUCCAGGCCCUUCCACCGCACCCUUCCUGCCUUCGAGCCAACUGAUCAUGGACUGGAACCUGUAGAAAUCGUGAGUCCACGUAAACCUGUCCUCCUUUAGGUUGUGGGUGUCGGAUAUUCAGUCCCAGUGACUGAGAAGUGGCCAAUCCUGUGGUCCAUACACAUUGGUGUGUCGGGCUGGGGAUAGAGGCGUGAGCGAUGUGCCACAGGGGUGUGCACACGCACUGAGUGUGUCUGUCUGUGUGCCCGAGGCUGAUUGAGCACGCAUGCUCAUGCGUGCACACACGUGUCUGUGCACGAGUCCUGUGUGUGCUCACCUGGGUGUAUCAGGUGGAGUUGUAUCUGAGGCCAUGGAUGUAGUGAUCCUUAAUUGUGAUGUGUGAACUCGAUGUGAGUAGAAACCACCUGGCAGAUUAGCAAAGCUCUGGGUGUGUCUGUGAGUGGUUGAUGAGGACGGAAGACACACCCAGGAUCUGGGCGGCACCAACCAAUAGGCUUGUAGCCUGCAUGGACUAAAAAGGGAAAGGAGGAGCAGUUCUGGUCUUAAAGCCUGUCUGUGGACGCUGGUCUCCCGUUCGCCGGGCUUCCAGCAUGGAUGCUUCAGCUUUCGACACACUCUCACCGUGACUCUGCAGUGAUCCUCCAGACCUUCAGGCUCCGUCCGCCGCUGGAUCCCUGCGCACACGGGUGACCAUUUCGGCAUCCUCCUCCUCGCAUGGCCGCUGGGACUCUUCCGGUUUGAUCCCGACAGCCUGCCUCACAAAUCCCGUCUCUAAGCACGCACGUUUUCUGUCGAAUCUGUUCCUCUGGAGAACCCCUAACUCAUACAGAUGUUCGUGUAUGUGUGCGUAUUUGCUCAGGUGGGUCUAAGUAUAUUCUGUCAUGUGUGCCCACUUGCAUGUAAACAUGUAUUUUAAUAUGUCUUUCACGUGCAUGUUUCAUAUGAACACACGUGUGUCCCCAGUGUCCCUCUGUGUGUACCCACGUGGGUUAUUCUGCGGGCAUCAACGUGAGGCGCCCACAUGCUGAGCUGGGCACCAGGGCUCUCUGGACCCCCACUCCUCAGAGCAGCUUGACCAACCUGGCCUCCGCUCUCUGCUCCUGGCUUAGACUCUGAGCCUCUCCGCUCCCCUCAUCACCCCAAGCCAAAUGCACCUUCAGGGAAGCAAGUUGCAGAGCAGAAGUCCCUCCCUGACCCUUCCCACCCUCCUGCAGCCCCUAGCCAGGGAUUCAGAGCUGGAGAACAGGAAUGGUCUUUUUAGAGAGGGCCCCGGCUCCCAGGUGUGCAGGAGCUGGGACCACAAUAACCCGACAGACUCCACCGGCCAGAAUGAGCUCCAAGAAGUCACCAGCAAGGUUCAGACAGAGGCCCAGCAAUAGCACGACAGUCCUCCCUUAUCUGCCACUUCACUUCCUGUGGUUGGAGUCGCCUGUGGUCAGCCAAGGUCUGAGAAUGUCUGAUAGGUAAUUCCAGAAAUAAAUAACGUACAAGUUUUAACGUUCACUUAGAAAUUUUACUCCUGUAUAUUAUUAUCAUUCUUCUAUUCUAUUGUCAGUUAUUACUGUGAAUCACUUCAUGUGCAGAAUUUGUGCACUGUAUUUAUUAUUGCGGUUUAGGCUGAGAAUGUUCCCCCAGGCCCUUGUGUUUUUGGAUGGCGAAUGGAUCAAGAGGCUGCUUUGCUGAAUUGCUGAGUGCACUGUUGGAAGGUGGGGCCUGGUUACAGGCAGUCCCUGGGGUUGUGACCCGGAAGUGUUUAUCUCCCUCCUGGGCUCCUGCCUCUAGCUCUACUUCCUGGCCGCCAUGAUGUGAGCAGCUUUCCUCUGCUAUGCCUCUCUGCCAGGCUGUUUCUGCCCUGGAGCCAGCCAACCAUGGACUGUAACCAUGAGCCAAAACAAUCUCUCUCCUCCUUUAAGUUGUGGGUGGCAGGUGUUGUAUCUCUCAGCAAUGAGAAAGUGACUGAGACAUGUAUGUACAGUGUGAUAGGAAAAAUGUGGUAUAUAUGGGGGUUGGUACUAUCCACCGGGUGUCUUGGAAUGUGGCCCCUGUGAAUCAGGGGGACCCUGCAGCAAAAAUGGACACAAUCCAUUCACAGCAGGGUCUCCUUUGAUGGCAACCCGGCAGGUCAUGAGACAGGAAUCCCUAGCACCACCAGAGGGGUGGUGUCACUGCGGUCCCAUUUCAGAGUUUGGGAGAAUCAGGGAGGUAAGGUUUGAACCCAGUCUGAGUAGCUCUAAACCAGUGGUUUGCAACAGGGCAUGGUUUCCCUCUAGGGGACAUUUACCAAAGUGGGGAAAUUUUGUUUUCUGCUUGUCACACCUGCGGGGGCAGGGAUGCCCCUGGCAUCUAGAGGGUGAGACCAGGGAGGCUGCUCGAUUUCCUAAAGGGUCACAUCAGCUCUGCCUGACAGAGGUGUCCUUCUGUAAUGGACACGAGUGCUGAGGGUGAGAACAGCUUCUAGAGGGGCAUCAGACAAAACCCAGAAGAAAUAGCUGAGUUUAGGCAUUCAAAAGUUUCAGGUGCAAAAGACUGGACAGAUGCUUCAUGAAAAGGGACAGAUGGAUAGAUGUUGAGCAACAGCCCAUCCUCGGGAAAAUGGAAUGGAGAACCAUCACGUGAUACCCUCCACACACCCACCAGAAUGGCUGAAGCCAGGCAUUCUGACAGCUCCAAGUGUUGGCAGAAUUACAGAGCAAUGGGAAGUUUGUUGUUGCUGGUGCAGGCCAGUCUGGGGUCCAGGACUGAGAGCAGCUGCCCUCUUCCCCACGGGACCUGCAGUUGCAUCCCCUGCUCAGCUCACCCCAGGCUCCCCAGAACAGCCUGUGGAGUGGACACAGACCUCGCUGCCCCAGUCGGCACUGGCCUCCUGAAACCCAGUCUUGCUGCAGCCCUUGCAGCCUAUGGAAUGCGUGCCAACGCAUUGGAUGUUUUGAGUGAAAGUGGCUGUGGAAUGGUUUCCUUUGCUUACUCCUUCCCCGAAUGUGGCUGUUGGAUUAAGAGAAUGUUGGCUGUCACGUGGAGGGAGCUUCUGGGAGUGUGGCCUGGGGGGUGAUGAGUCUCCAGCCGCCUUCCUGUGGAUCCUGGGGCCGUGCUGCUCGACUGAGGACAGCAAUGUGGUGACUGUGGUUUCCCAGACAGGGCUUCUGAGCCAGGCCCAGCACAGGGACCUAGGGUGGCUGUGGCCGGGACUUCCCAGAGCUCAGCCCCCCGGUGCGCUCCAGCGAGUCCCACCUUUAAAACACACUCAUACAACCAUUGUCACAGUUACCAAGACAUGGGCUGCAUGCCAGACCUGGGCCAGGCAGUUACAAAGGCCGUUUUCUGUCUUCCAUGCUAGUGUAUGCAGGGUGGAGUUCACUUUGUGAAG
rnacentral:lncRNA from 1 species